AACGAACGCUGGCGGCAUGCCUAACACAUGCAAGUCGAACGAGACCUUCGUGUCUAUUUGCGCACGUGUGCGUAACGCGUGGGAACCUACCCGUAGGUUCGGAAUAACUCCCCUAAGGGGGUGCUAAUACCGGAGAGUGUCUUCGGACCAAAGAUUUAUCGCCUUUGGAUGGGCCCUCGUUGGAUUAGCUAGUUGGUAGUGUAAAAGCAUACCAAGGCGACGAUCCUUAGCUGGUGUGAUAGCAUGCUAAGCCACACUGGGACUGAGACACGGACCAGACUCGGACGCGAGGCAGCAGUGGGGAAUAUUGGACACGGGGCGCAAGUGUGACAACGCAACGCGGCGUAAGUCAUGCAGGCCUUAGGGUUGUACAGUCCUCUUACACGGGACGAGAAUGACAGUAACGGGAGAAUAAGCACCGGCUAACUACGUG
rnacentral:rRNA from 1 species